rnacentral:rRNA from 1 species
UACGUAGGAGGCAAGCGUUGUCCGGAUUUACUGGGUGUAAAGGGUCCGCAGGCGGGCCCGUGAGUCAGUGGUGAAAUCCUCCAGCUUAACUGGAGAUCUGCCUCUGAUACUGCGGGUCUUGAAUCAAGGAGAGGGGGACGGAAUUCCAGGUGUAGCGGUGAAAUGCUUAGAUAUCUGGAAGAACACCGGUGGCGAAGGCUGUUCCCUGGCCUUGGAUUGACGCUCAUGGACGAAAGCGUGGGGAUCAAAC